rnacentral:rRNA from 1 species
GAAAUAGAACCUGAAACCGUGUGCUUACAAGUAGUCAGAGCCCGUUAAUGGGUGAUGGCGUGCCUUUUGUAGAAUGAACCGGCGAGUUACGAUUUGAUGCAAGGUUAAGCAGUAAAUGUGGAGCCGUAGCGAAAGCGAGUCUGAAUAGGGCGUUUAGUAUUUGGUCGUAGACCCGAAACCAGGUGAUCUACCCUUGGUCAGGUUGAAGUUCAGGUAACACUGAAUGGAGGACCGAACCGACUUACGUUGAAAAGUGAGCGGAUGAACUGAGGGUAGCGGAGAAAUUCCAAUCGAACCUGGAGAUAGCUGGUUCUCUCCGAAAUAGCUUUAGGGCUAGCCUCAAGUGAUGAUUAUUGGAGGUAGAGCACUGUUUGGACGAGGGGCCCCUCUCGGGUUACCGAAUUCAGACAAACUCCGAAUGCCAAUUAAUUUAACUUGGGAGUCAGAACAUGGGUGAUAAGGUCCGUGUUCGAAAGGGAAACAGCCCAGACCACCAGCUAAGGUCCCAAAAUAUAUGUUAAGUGGAAAAGGAUGUGGCGUUGCCCAGACAACUAGGAUGUUGGCUUAGAAGCAGCCAUCAUUUAAAGAGUGCGUAAUAGCUCACUAGUCGAGUGACACUGCGCCGAAAAUGUACCGGGGCUAAACAUAUUACCGAAGCUGUGGAUUGUCCUUUGGACAAUGGUAGGAGAGCGUUCUAAGGGCGUUGAAGCAUGAUCGUAAGGACAUGUGGAGCGCUUAGAAGUGAGAAUGCCGGUGUGAGUAGCGAAAGACGGGUGAGAAUCCCGUCCACCGAUUGACUAAGGUUUCCAGAGGAAGGCUCGUCCGCUCUGGGUUAGUCGGGUCCUAAGCUGAGGCCGACAGGCGUAGGCGAUGGAUAACAGGUUGAUAUUCCUGUACCACCUAUAAUCGUUUUAAUCGAUGGGGGGACGCAGUAGGAUAGGCGAAGCGUGCGAUUGGAUUGCACGUCUAAGCAGUAAGGCUGAGUAUUAGGCAAAUCCGGUACUCGUUAAGGCUGAGCUGUGAUGGGGAGAAGACAUUGUGUCUUCGAGUCGUUGAUUUCACACUGCCGAGAAAAGCCUCUAGAUAGAAAAUAGGUGCCCGUACCGCAAACCGACACAGGUAGUCAAGAUGAGAAUUCUAAGGUGAGCGAGCGAACUCUCGUUAAGGAACUCGGCAAAAUGACCCCGUAACUUCGGGAGAAGGGGUGCUCUUUAGGGUUAACGCCCAGAAGAGCCGCAGUGAAUAGGCCCAAGCGACUGUUUAUCAAAAACACAGGUCUCUGCUAAACCGUAAGGUGAUGUAUAGGGGCUGACGCCUGCCCGGUGCUGGAAGGUUAAGAGGAGUGGUUAGCUUCUGCGAAGCUACGAAUCGAAGCCCCAGUAAACGGCGGCCGUAACUAUAACGGUCCUAAGGUAGCGAAAUUCCUUGUCGGGUAAGUUCCGACCCGCACGAAAGGCGUAACGAUUUGGGCACUGUCUCAACGAGAGACUCGGUGAAAUCAUAGUACCUGUGAAGAUGCAGGUUACCCGCGACAGGACGGAAAGACCCCGUGGAGCUUUACUGUAGCCUGAUAUUGAAAUUCGGCACAGCUUGUACAGGAUAGGUAGGAGCCUUUGAAACGUGAGCGCUAGCUUACGUGGAGGCGCUGGUGGGAUACUACCCUAGCUGUGUUGGCUUUCUAACCCGCACCACUUAUCGUGGUGGGAGACAGUGUCAGGCGGGCAGUUUGACUGGGGCGGUCGCCUCCUAAAAGGUAACGGAGGCGCUCAAAGGUUCCCUCAGAAUGGUUGGAAAUCAUUCAUAGAGUGUAAAGGCAUAAGGGAGCUUGACUGCGAGACCUACAAGUCGAGCAGGGUCGAAAGACGGACUUAGUGAUCCGGUGGUUCCGCAUGGAAGGGCCAUCGCUCAACGGAUAAAAGCUACCCCGGGGAUAACAGGCUUAUCUCCCCCAAGAGUUCACAUCGACGGGGAGGUUUGGCACCUCGAUGUCGGCUCAUCGCAUCCUGGGGCUGUAGUCGGUCCCAAGGGUUGGGCUGUUCGCCCAUUAAAGCGGUACGCGAGCUGGGUUCAGAACGUCGUGAGACAGUUCGGUCCCUAUCCGUCGUGGGCGUAGGAAAUUUGAGAGGAGCUGUCCUUAGUACGAGAGGACCGGGAUGGACAUACCUCUGGUGUACCAGUUGUCGUGCCAACGGCAUAGCUGGGUAGCUAUGUGUGGACGGGAUAAGUGCUGAAAGCAUCUAAGCAUGAAGCCCCCCUCAAGAUGAGAUUUCCCAACUUCGGUUAUAAGAUCCCUCAAAGAUGAUGAGGUUAAUAGGUUCGAGGUGGAAGCAUGGUGACAUGUGGAGCUGACGAAUACUAAUCGAUCGAAGACUUAAUCAAAA